rnacentral:rRNA from 1 species
AACGAACGCUGGCGGCAUGCCUAACACAUGCAAGUCGAACGAGACCUUCGGGUCUAGUGGCGCACGGGUGCGUAACGCGUGGGAACCUGCCCUUAGGUUCGGAAUAACUCCCCGAAAGGGGUGCUAAUACCGGAUAAUGUCUUCGGACCAAAGAUUUAUCGCCUUUGGAUGGGCCCGCGUUGGAUUAGCUAGUUGGUAGGGUAAAAGCCUACCAAGGCGACGAUCCAUAGCUGGUCUGAGAGGAUGAUCAGCCACACUGAGACUGAGACACGGCCCAGACUCCUACGGGAGGCAGCAGGGGGGAAUAUUGGACAAUGGGCGAAAGCCUGAUCCAGCAAUGCCGCGUGAGUGAUGAAGGCCUUAGGGUUGUAAAGCUCUUUUACCCGGGAUGAUAAUGACAGUACCGGGAGAAUAAGCUCCGGCUAACUCCGUG